ACAAGCAGCGGAGCGUGUGGUUUAAUUCGAUGUUACACGAAGAACCUUACCAGGGUUUGACAUGCAAGUGUAGGAAUCCGAAAGGUGACCGACCCUUCGGGGAGCUUGCACAGGUGCUGCAUGGCUGUCGUCAGCUCGUGUCGUGAGAUGUUCGGUUAAGUCCGCUAACGAGCGCAACCCUCGUCGUGUGUUAUACGUGUCACACGAUACUGCCGGUAUCAAGCCGGAGGAAGGUGGGGAUGAUGUCAAGUCAGCAUGGCCUUUAUAUCCUGGGCUACACACACGCUACAAUGGCAGAUACAAUAGGUUGCGAAACCGCGAGGUGGAGCCAAUCCUCAAAGUCUGUCUCAGUUCAGAUUGUAGGCUGCAACUCGCCUGCAUGAAGUUGGAGUUGCUAGUAAACGCAGGUCAGCUAUACUGCGUUGAAUACGUUCCCGGGGUUU
rnacentral:rRNA from 1 species